rnacentral:sRNA from 1 species
UUUUCCGACUAUCUCAUACUAGUGGUUCCCAACUUUCUCUAUUUUCUUUAUCUGAUCGGUUGUACAAGGCGUUUAAGGAUUCUUUUAAAGGCUGCAGUUACUACUUCCGGUGAUCGACCUAUGAUAUCGGCAUAGGCGGGUUGCAUAUGUCCUCUUUUUCCUUGCAGAGUUGCCAGUUGUGCUGUUUGAGCCAUUUCUUUGAAUUCGCCUCACCACAGUGUACUGCAUGUUGGUGAUGGUGAACUGCCUCUGAUUUGCCGUUGUGGUUUGCGCUGCUACUUGGAAUACACCAACGAUGCUAACAAAAAGGAAAAAUAAGACCAAACACUUCAUGAUGAUUUAUUUUUUUGGAAUUGAAAAUUUCUUCUGUAAAAUACGAUAUUAAACUGUCUGUGCUGCGGAUGGAAUUUCUUGCAAA